CCUUAGUAACGGCGAGUGAACAGGGAUAAGCCCAGCACCGAAGCCUGCAGUUGUUUAAUUGUUGGGCGGUGUGGUGUUUAGGCGUGUUCAUUGCGUGCUGCUUUGCCCUAAGUCCAAUUAUGAGUAUGGCAAUUAGUGUAGCCCAGAGAGGGUGUUAGGCCCGUGGGGGCAAAGUUCAGGUUGGCCAGCAUUUGCUCAGAGCAUGCCUUGGAGUCGGGUUGUUUGAGAAUGCAGCCCUAAGUGGGUGGUAAACUCCAUCUAAGGCUAAAUACUGACACGAGUCCGAUAGCGAACAAGUACCGUGAGGGAAAGUUGAAAAGUACUUUGAAGAGAGAGUAAACAGUGCGUGAAACCGCUCAAAGGUAAACGGAUGGAGUUGAACUGAAAGCUUUGAAAAUUCAACCGGCAUACUUGGCGUUUGACAGGCCGAUAGAGUCUGCCAUUUGGCAGGUUUUCGCUUGCGCGAGAAUUUGUGACACUUAGCAAGUGUUGUGCGCYUUAUUGGCUGUGUCAUUUUGUCGGUGCACUUUUUCAAAGUGUGCACUACGACCGGCAUUGCUGUCUGUUUGCUGCAACCAAACCAAUAAAGUUGAGCACYUGUGUUAAGCUUGGUUGGGAUAGCAGGUAGCUCAAUUGUCAUUUAUUUGAAUUUUGAGUUUAAUCAGCUGGUUGCAGUGAAUUUGUGCAGUGUGCCGGAGAUGAUGGAAUUUAGCAAAGGUGCUAUGCUUAGGCAGAACGUUUUGAUUUGGUUGGCGUUACCUGCGUUCGUAGGUGCGUCGACAGUCUUGGUGUUCUGGUUAAUGGUAGUGCUAUUUUGUUAAAUUCAAGAGUCUGUAGUGUUGUGGUAGACCAUCCAUCCGACCCGUCUUGAAACACGGACCAAGGAGUUUAACAUGUGUGCAAGUCAUUGGGUGUUACGAAGUCCAAAGGCGUAGUGAAAGUGAGAGUCUUUCAGACUGAGGUGAGAUCUUGUUACUUUCAAGUGCAAGCGCAUUACCGGCCCGUCUUAUAAUGUAUUACAUUGGGGCGGAGCUUGAGCAUACAUGUUGAGACCCGAAAGAUGGUGAGCUAUGCUUGCGAAGGUUGAAGCCAGGGGAAACUCUGGUGGAGGACCGUAGCGAUUCUGACGUGCAAAUCGAUCGUCUGACGUGAGUAUAGGGGCGAAAGACUAAUCGAACCAUCUAGUAGCUGGUUCCCUCUGAAGUUUCCCUCAGGAUAGCUGGCGUUCAUAAAUGGUAACAGUUUUAUCCGGUAAAGCGAAUGAUUAGAGGUAUUGGGGAAAUAUGUUCCUCAACCUAUUCUCAAACUUUAAAUGGGUGAGAUGCUUUGCUCGCUUAAUUGGAGUAGGGCGUUGAAUGUGAAUGCCAAGUGGGCCAUUUUUGGUAAGCAGAACUGGCGCUGUGGGAUGAACCAAACGCCUGGUUAAGGUGCCUAAUGUGACGCUCAUGAGAUCCCACAAAAGGUGUUAGUUGGUCUAGACAGCAGGACGGUGCGGUAAAUCGGAACAGAGACAGGG
rnacentral:rRNA from 1 species